rnacentral:lncRNA from 1 species
GUUUUUUUUUUUUGUAUACAUGGAAAUGAAAUCAGAUCUCUCAACUUUUGGCUACGUUCUUUUCAAAAACAGAAAACAAAAACAGAUUUUAGGUGAUUGGCAGUGCUUGGAUUUCCUACAAGUCCAGAAAAAACGUCCUCCAGUUAUCUUGUUAUAUAAGUUCGGACCAUGUUUUGAAAUCAUGUCAUGAACACGUUUGGAAUUCAGCGAUUUCAAGCAAAAGCACUAGGGUUCCAAGACACCAUACACCAACAGACCAAACAUGAAUUACACGAUCCCUUCAUGAAAUUCCACGGAAUUCAAACGGUAAACCUUACAGCGGGGGAGUUCAGACAGCAGGCAGCAGCCGGUUCGACGUUCAACACAGUACCAGUAUAAGUUUCAGGCUCAUGCUUUUAUUCUGUCCGACCCGGACGACACUCGGUGCGACAUCAUCAUAAUGUUCUCGAUCCCAUACCGAACUGUUACAGGCAUCAACAGCCAUGGAAUGGCAUAGCGCGGUGGAUAACGGCAUGUCUGCGACACUUCAGUUCAAAAUUCAGCAGGCGUUACACGACGUCCAGAAUACUUAUUACUACUGCAACGAGACGGCAUGGGCGCAGCAAAUGGCAGAGUUCCGUUCAAAAAAGGCCAUGGGAGCUACUCGGUGGCUUCCUUGUUCUCGGCCGCCUUGGCCUCCUCGGUGGACUCCUGGGUCGGGGUCGUCACCUCCGUAGGCGAGUUGGCGCCCUCUGCAAUGGCAAAGAUGGCAAAGCGAUGCUUGUGAUGAUGGCAAGAUAAAUGUACUGGAUUGCUUGCUUGGUAUCUUGUAAAUAUGAAGUACCGUCGCUGUCAGUAGAUGCAUGAAGGAAUCGGCGUGAACGGGCUUGCUGCUGGGUAGGCUGCAGGAACAUCGAGGAAGAUGUAAGCGACCAAAUAAAUUCAGUGUAGCAUGCAAGUUAAUUUCAUAAUUAUUACCACAUUUUUGACAGCAAAAGGAUAGCUCCACAAGCAAAGACUUACUAACAAGAAUGAGGUGACAAAACGUGUAAUUGACACUGAAUCUAGUUUAAAUACUGGGCCAAAAAACUGGAUAUGUCAUCUAUUGGAUUGUUAGAAAGACUCCCAAAUGCGCAAAUGGACCAGCUAGCAGCUGGUGCCAAACGGAGAAAGUAUCAACAGUAGUAGUGUAGUACGUCUGAUAACAGAAUCAGCUCCACAAGCAAAGAAUUACUAACAGGACUAGCGGGCAGGUACCUUGAACUGAGUUCAUUUUAAACACUAUACCAAAAGAUGGAUAUGUAUCUAUUGGGUUAAUAGAAAGACCAGCAAAUACACUAAUGAAAGAGCUAGCGGAUAAUGUCAAACAGAUACAGUAUCAACAGUGGUAUAAUACAAGGUAAGCACAAUCAUGCAAACAAUGAGUGCCAGUUUUAGCACCUGUAAUUUCGGUCGAAGUGCUUCAAGCGGCCCUUUAGGCUUUUGAGGAUGUCCUCCUUGCUGCAGGAAACCAAACGAUCAGGUGAGCAAGAUCGCGUAGGUGUUGCAUUGCUUCCUCAAAAUCCAUAUAACUUCCGAAAAGAACAGUACAAUACCUUUCCCAGAGCCCAAUCAGCAGAAUCAAAGUAAGCUCGCUCAUGGUCCUGAUAACACAUUUUAACACAGGUGAAACUAAUGGAUAUGGGGCUAAAAUUAAUUUAUCUUCCCUGACUGCUUUAUACAUAGAUGACAUAAACAUUUAACAGUAGUAGGUAGUAAUAUAUUGAAGGCAAUGAUACCUUGGAUAUGAGUGGUGACUUUUUGGGCAGUACUCCUCCAUACUUUUUCUUGAUUACUGCUUCCUGCAAAUACUUGGUAAAGUCGGAUUGUGCUUAUGGAUAUAUUUUUGACAGUUUUACAUAGAAAGUAAAUUAGUAAAAUCGUACAGAUGGAAACAUGCAAGCACACAAGGUUAAGCAGUACACUUGUUAACAAAAGAUGAUACCUCUUGCUGUGCUGAUGGCAUCUCAUUUCCUUUAUCCUGGUUGGCAGUUUCCACUUUCACAUCAGAAACAUCUCCUUCAGGCCUCACCUGGCCAGUCGUAUCAUCAGAUGGCUUCUCCGACAUACUGUACGAAUGGAUGCUCAAACAAGCUACAAGAAGAUAGAUUUCUAUCAGAUAAUUUAUCUCAAUGCCAUCAAAAUUAGUAGGCAUAAAACACACCAGGGCAUAGGCAAAUUAGAAAGAAAUCUGAAGCAUAUUCUGGGAAGAUAUUGACAUUUCAACCAUAAUGUAGCAGUACAAAGAACAUGUUUACAUAAACACAUACUGGGAAGUCAAUGUAAUAAGACAUACAAAAUUUACUUUGGAAAAAUGGAGGUAAAUAAAACUGCAUAACCCAUCCUGAUCCUGGGGUAUCUCUGUUUUCGAAAAGGGAACCAGACACCAACUAAUACUGGCCCAGCUCUUCAACAGGUCUUGCAGUAGCGUUUCUAAGUCCUAACGUCAAACCUAACACCGGCAUACCAUCUUGAACCAAGGUUGUUGCUCGGUCAGGUACUGGGAGUGGGACAAGCAAUAACUGCAAAAGUGGACUAUUGUCCUUGACAGGACUGGAUGAAGGCAGUAAGCCUGAACCCAACAAAUGUACAUAAGUAUACCCCAGGACUUCAACAGAAGUACUUGAAGCCAACCAAAAAAAAAAAAGAACAGCACCUACGAUUUAACCUCUCCGUCUACGGCAAAUCAACAUUUCAAGAGUGCUAAAAUUUUUUUCAGAAAAAGAAGAGUGCUAAAUGAUAUAACUGCAAAAGUGGCAACGUUCUGAAUAGGGCCAUUGUCCUUGACAGGACUGGAUGAAGGCAGUCAACCUGCACCCGACAUUUGUACAUAAGUUUUUCGGACUUCAGUAGAAGUGCUUGAAGCCAACAAGUAACAAAGUACAGCACGAUUUAUCCUCGCUAUGCAUGGCAAAUCAACAAUCAGGAAUGCUAAAUGAUACCACGACAAGAUCUGCGAUCACUUGGGUCUGAUGCAUGACCUGCCACACAACCCAGUGCAGGGAACAGAGACACUGCUCACACGAAUGAUGUCCCUCUCUCCGGCCAACCUAUGAGCUACUCCGUCGGACAAGCUCCUCAAGCAUAUAACUCACGAACCAAUCAAGCUCUGGGCCGAAACUCUGGUGCCCCGAAAUUCCGCCCGCCCGUUCCUGGCGAGGCGCUGGAAGGGGAGGCGAGGCACGCGGCCAGAGCUACCGCCGCUCGUCUGAGGCCUACCGGGGGACGGAUCUAGGCGGCGCGCACGAGAUUCGCGGGCGGCGGCGAGGGCCUGGCGAUUCGCUGGAGCUCGUACCUCGGGAUCGGGCGGGGUCGCGGCGAUGCGGGACGCGGACGCGCGUCAGAGGCGGAGGAGGCGACGGAGACGCGUGGGAGGCGGAGGGAGGGAGGGGUCUGGGGAGCGAGGCCGCCGGCGGCGAGGCGGGGCUAGGGCACGGCGGUGGCCGGGCGGCGGUGGUAGGUCGCCAGGGGAGGGGGGAGGGCGACGAGGAGGAAUCGGCGAAGAAAUGCAAGGGACGGUGGAGAGCCGCGGUCUAUGAGUGGUAACUGAAUCUGAUUCCACCUUCUCUUUUUUUUUCUUUUCUUCUUUUUUCUUUUUUCUUUUUUUGCCACGAACGGAAUGGAAAAGGGUAAAAUGUGAAAGGGAGCAUCCUGCCAAAAAAAAUACCUUCAAAAGAACUCUUUCAGAAACUUCCUUUUUUUUUAAUUCGGACGCUUUUUGGGCCCGAUGAAGCGCAAAACGACGAUCGAUUUUUGACCGGGUCGAUUCAAAAGCCAUCGCCGCAUAUUUUCUUGAACACAGUACAUAAGCAAGCGCCCAUAUACACACGCAUACGCUCAUCCCUAUUUGAGGAACGAAACACGGGGGUAGGCUCUCUUUUUUCCGGAAUUUGAAAAUUUCCAAAUUUAAGAUGAUGUAUGUUAUCGAGCCCCAUCAUCCCGGUUGUUUUCACGCCUUAUCGUCGAACUACCGCUCAUAUCAUAGAGCGUAAAACAUGUCGAAUUCAAGGUUCCGGCGAUAUGAUGAGGAACUGGGAUUUCAAGUAGCGUUCACCAUCAAUCAUCGAUCAUCCAUGGUCUAUGAUGGUUUACCAAAGUCGAAGAACUCCCCGCAAAAAAUAAAGUGAUCGAAUAACUCAUCUUCCACUGACAAUAUCUUUAUUUAUAUUAUUACUCUCUCCCUUUUGGUUUGCCAAGGCAUAUGCAUUUUAAUUACUCUCUCCUUUUUGGUUUGCAAAGGCAUGUGCAUUUUUUUACUCAGGUCAAACGCUUUAAAGCCUGACCAAAAUUAUAGAAAAAACGUCAACAUCAACAAUACAGAAUCAAUAUCAUCAAAUACAUCAUGAAAUGUAUUCUCAUAGGAUAUGCAUGUGGUAUAUUUAAUUGUUUAUAAAUGUUAAAUAUUUUUCCCAUAAACUAGGUCAAACCAUGAAACCUUUGAAAAUUUUGGCUUCAGAGAAAAUCGUAUGCCAAAUAGGGAGUACAUUCUUAUAUCAAGGGGCUCCUCACUUUUCCUGCUCCUUUUUGUCCCUCCUUUGAGUUUGAUUGUGCCCGAGUCGACAAAAAUUGUCGUCAAAAUAUAAGAGAUGGGUGUGAAAUUGUUAUGGACCAGAAAAAAAAACUAAAAUCAAAGCCCCAUCCCUACCUGCGCGACUCCAUCGCGCACGAACAAUCUGCUGAGAUCUGUUGAUACCAAAGUUCUGGUGCAAAGACAAACAAGAGGAUCAACAAAGAGGGUCAGGGAUAAAUGAACACGAACACACAACCACUGUGCAAAGCAUACCGUACAUGAAGAUACAUAUAUCAGUAGAUUGCACUCUGGAGUAGCUCCUCCUCCCCUCGACAGUCGAGGCCUACAACAAGGGGUGAACUCUUUGCAACUCAGAACAGCAGGAUCACGUUGACAACUGUGAUGCAGAUCAUGGCCAGGGUCGCGACUAUCGAUCCCGGACGGAAGGCUCUACGCAACCCUCUGUUCCUGGUGAAGUACUGAAAGGCGAGAUACACAGCUAUCGCCAAAGAUAGUAUCCUGCCAGCUUGAGUUCCCCUGUGCACGGGAGGUAGGCAUCGGAGCGAAUGAGCAAGAACUAAUACCCUAACAGAUACAGUAGUGGCAGUAUAGCCAAAAUAGGGAGAAUGUUUCAUACCUCAGACUCAUCACCUGGUAAGGAGCAAUGAUGAUAAGCCACAUUGUUGAGAGCGGAAGCUCCAGCUCACCUGCCAUAGACAUAAAGCAUGCGCCGUAAGUAACAUACCCCGGGUUGUAUGUUUUAUCGAUUAUCCAACUCAAUGUUAGCCUGAUGUUUGAAUCCUCCUUGUCACUCUACCUGGAGUGGGUAAGAACAAGCGCACCAAAAUCGCAAGAAAAGCUGUCCAGAGUCCAUAUUCUCUCCUAACAUGAGGAUUUGAUACCAUAGUAUAAGCAGGGCAAGAGAGAGUAUUCUUAUGUGAAACAAAGGGGAAAUGUAUCAGAUAACUCCUUGCACCAAAUAGCAGCGUCUUACUUGAUCCAUGGGAUUACACUGCUAGGUGCUUGCUGUGCAAACCAUGGCAUGAGCCAGGAUUUGUGUAUGCCUGUCUCUUUAGAAACCAACAGCACACUGCAAAAGGCAAAAAAGUAACAAAUAAACUGCUACGCUUUGUUGAUACCAAACUUUUGAUGCCAAGAUGAGCAAGAGAUCGACAAAAGGGGGGAGAAACUGGCCAUCAGGAAGAACUGAAAACUAACACUGUAUCACACAAAGACAGAACUACUUCCCAAACCACACCGUACACGGUGAUAUAUACUAUCAGUCAUGUCACAACUCAGAGGUCAUUCUUAUUACGAUAAAACAAGCUACAAAGUCUGACAGGAUGAUGCGCUACAAGGUUUCUUUUUAUUUAUCUGCACUCUGAAGUAGCUCUUGGCAACUCAGAACAGCAGGAUCACAUUGAUAACUGCGAUACAGAUGAUGGCCAUGGUCGCAACUAUCGAUCCCUGAUCGAAGGCUUUUCCUAUUCCUCCGGUCCUGGUGAAGUGCUGAAAGGCGAGGUACGCGGCUAGUACCAACGACACUAUCGCGCCACCUUGAGUUCCCCU